AUUGAACGCUGGCGGCAUGCCUUACACAUGCAAGUCGAACGGCAGCGCGGGGCAACCUGGCGGCGAGUGGCGAACGGGUGAGUAAUAUAUCGGAACGUACCCUAGAGUGGGGGAUAACGUAGCGAAAGUUACGCUAAUACCGCAUACGCACUAAGGUGGAAAGUGGGGGAUUCGCAAGAACCUCAUGCUCAUGGAGUGGCCGAUAUCUGAUUAGCUAGUUGGUGAGGUAAAGGCUCACCAAGGCAACGAUCAGUAGCUGGUUUGAGAGAACGACCAGCCACACUGGAGCUGAGACACGGUCCAGACUCCUACGGGAGGCAGCAGUGGGGAAUUUUGGACAAUGGGGGCAACCCUGAUCCAGCAAUGCCGCGUGAGUGAAGAAGGCC
rnacentral:rRNA from 1 species